rnacentral:rRNA from 1 species
GCUUGUCUCAAAGAUUAAGCCAUGCACGUCUGAGAAUAAAGAGUUUUCUCUGAAUCUGCGAAUGGCUCAUUAUAUCAGUUAUAGUUUAUUUGAUAGUCCUUUACUACUUGGAUAACCGUAGUAAUUCUAGAGCUAAUACGUGCGUAAAUCCCGACUCCUGGAAGGGACGUAUUUAUUAGAUUUAAGGCCAACCGAGCUUGCUCGUCUCUUGGUGAAUCAUGAUAACUUCACGAAUCGCAUGGCCUCGCGCCGGCGAUAUUUCAUUCAAAUUUCUGCCCUAUCAAUUGGCGAUGGUAGGAUAGAGGCCUACCAUGGUGUUAACGGGUGACGGGGGAUUAGGGUUCGAUUCCGGAGAGGCAGCCUGAGAAACGGCUACCACAUCCAAGGAAGGCAGCAGG